UCCCUGGAGGAUUAGUGGUUAGGCCACAGUGCUGUCACCUCUGCAGCCUGGGUUUGAUACCCGGCCAGAAAA
rnacentral:tRNA from 1 species